rnacentral:lncRNA from 1 species
GCUCGCUCUCACAACGGAGGCGUACACACUCUCUCGAGCAGAGGAUUCGCGGAAGCUCGCGCUGACUUCCUUUCUUUCUUUUCAAUCCACCGACGUUCUCAAAUAGAUAUCUCCAGUCGUCCCCAUUUCUUCUUCCUUUGUGGAAUAGGAGAUGUCCAGGGCUUCGGGGAUGGUAGCUAGGAGGACGACGGUGAUAUUGGAGCCGAUUGUUGGGCGAGACGUGCUGUGGAGAUGGCCGGAGUUUCUUUAUUUUCC